rnacentral:rRNA from 1 species
GACGAACGCUGGCGGCGUGCUUAACACAUGCAAGUCGAACGAAGUGGCGAACGGGUGAGUAACGCGUAAUCAACCUGCCCAUCAGAGGGGGACAACAGUUGGAAACGAAUGCUAAUACCGCAUACUGAAGGAGGGGAAUGCGUCUGAUUAGCUAGUUGGGGGGGUAACGGCCCACCAAGGCGAUGAUCAGUCGCCGGUCUGAGAGGAAGAACGGCCACAUUGGGACUGAGACACGGCCCAGACUCCUACGGGAGGCAGCAGUGGGGAAUCUUCCGCAAUGGACGAAAGUCUGACGGAGCAACGCCGCGUGAGUGAUGACGGCCUUCGGGUUGUAAAGCUCUGUUAAUCGGGACGCGGUACCGGAAUAGAAAGCCACGGCUAACUACGUGCCAGCCGCCGCGGUAAUUC